AAAACUGCAGUGAUUACAUUAAUUUAUUGGGAUAUUUUAGAGAUUAACAUCACUGACUGUAAUAAAAAUAGUUAAGAGGCAAAAUAUAGAAGUCUCCUGUCUCCUUGAGCCUUUGUUCACCCCUGUGCUGGUAAUGAGACCUUUCUGUUGAAGUUACAAUUCAAGGAUUAGGCAUUCCAUCCCCAAUAACAGUUGGCAAAAGUCAAAAUAAAUAUUUUUGGAUUCCACAAAAUUUGAAUUUCACACUGAAGUGAUUCAAUUUUAAAACAUAUUUACUUCAAGUCAAGUGUCCAAGUACCAUAUAAGUAAUAUCAUCUCAAACAGCUACAGAAAUGUGAAAAUACAUUUCAGACAUUCUUAAAAUCAGAUAUAUAC
rnacentral:lncRNA from 10 species